rnacentral:rRNA from 1 species
AGCAGCCGCGGUAAUUCCAGCUCCAAUAGCGUAUAUUAAAGUUGUUGCAGUUAAAAAGCUCGUAGUUGAAUUUCGGGAUUGGCGCAUCGGUCGUGCCUCACGGGGUAUGAACUGGUGCAGUCAAUUUCUCACCUUCUGGAGAACCGCGAUGUCCUUAAUUGGAUGCCGCGGGGAACCAGGACCUUUACUUUGAAAAAUUAGAGUGUUUAAAGCAGGCAUUUUUGCUUGAAUACAUUAGCAUGGAAUAAUAAAAUAGGACGGCAUGGUUCUAUUUUGUUGGUUUCUAGGACCACCGUAAUGAUUAAUAGGGAUAGUUGGGGGCAUUAGUAUUCAAUUGUCAGAGGUGAAAUUCUUGGAUUUAUUGAAGACUAACUACUGCGAAAGCAUUUGCCAAGGAUGUUUUCAUUAAUCAAGAACGAAAGUUAGGGGAUCGAAGACGAUCAGAUACCGUCGUAGUCUUAACCAUAAACUAUGCCGACUAGGAAUCAGACGAUGUUA